AGUGAACGCUGGCGGUAGGCCUAACACAUGCAAGUCGAACGGCAGCACAGUAAGAGCUUGCUCUUACGGGUGGCGAGUGGCGGACGGGUGAGGAAUACAUCGGAAUCUACUUUUUCGUGGGGGAUAACGUAGGGAAACUUACGCUAAUACCGCAUACGACCUACGGGUGAAAGCAGGGGAUCUUCGGACCUUGCGCGAUUGAAUGAGCCGAUGUCGGAUUAGCUAGUUGGCGGGGUAAAGGCCCACCAAGGCGACGAUCCGUAGCUGGUCUGAGAGGAUGAUCAGCCACACUGGAACUGAGACACGGUCCAGACUACUAAGGGAGGCAGCAGUGGGGAAUAUUGGACAAUGGGCGCAAGCCUGAUCCAGCCAUACCGCGUGGGUGAAGAAGGCCUUCGGGUUGUAAAGCCCUUUUGUUGGGAAAGAAAAGCAGCAGGUUAAUACCCCGCUGUUCUGACGGUACCCAAAGAAUAAGCACCGGCUAACUUCGUG
rnacentral:rRNA from 1 species